GGUUGGGGGUGUAGCUCAGUGGUAGAGCCUAUGCUUUAUCAAGUAUAAGGCCCUGGGUUCAAUCCCCAGCACAAUCC
rnacentral:tRNA from 1 species